GAUAGGAACCCACGAAUCACUCCAGAAAACCUAUCUCCUCUCCCCUCACCCCCUCAUCCCACAGCCCCCACUCGGCCGCCGCCGCCGCCACCGCCGCCGCCACCGCCGCCGCCUACUCUUCGCGACUCUCCCCAUAGCAGCGGAUCAUGCGCAGGCAAGAGCGGUCCCUUCCUCUUCUCCCAGCCCACGCUUCCCCUGCCGCCGCCGCCGCCAUAUUCGGGUCAUCCCGAAUCCGCCACCCAUCAUUGGCCCAUGCUGCUUGCUGCUACGGUGUAGUUCUCUUUCAAUGGCUAUUGUCCAGCGGCAUCCCGUACCCCUUUUGCUGCAGAUCCGAGCUCAAGCAGGUUACCCCUCAUUGGAUUUCGGUGCCACUCGUCUGGAUCGAGCAGAUGCAGAUCUCCAAUAGGCCGACAAUCCCUGGUUCAAUUUUGUCCAUGGUCAGUGAUACAGAUCCCUUCCUGUCCGACCCCUCUUAUGUUGUGGCUGUAGCAAUCGUGAAAUCAAGUUGGCAUCCUUCAACGCCCUCUUCUUCUGCAAGGGUCUGUGCAAGGAGUCCCUUGAAUUUCCUUUGAUUCAUGGAUAUUAGGAAUUCACUAGUGCUGCUGCUGCUAGCUAGCUACUGAGUUGUCCAAAACACUGCAUACGAUGUGAUGUAGGGAAAAGGCUGCCUAGGGAAAGGUACCUUGCUGAAAUCUGGAAGGUAGAAAAAUACAAUGAGAUGGAGCUAGCCAUAUCUUUCUGGGAGUCAUAUAUACACUUGGAGCUAUGGAAGUUCAAGCAACCUGUAAUAUGGUGACACUAGAUCUUAAAGGAUGUAUAUUUGGUGGAGUACUCGUACAAUUUGUAACAAGAACUUUAGAUCAUUUACUUAUUUUAUUCCAAUAGCUUGAUGGAUGUCAUUCUGAUCUGUAUGUAACAUGUAUAUGGAACUAUCAGAAUUUUUUUUUGAGAAACAACUAUCAGAAAAAUUGGUUUUGAUGGAGUUAUGAAAUUGUAGUUGCGUGUGCAAA